rnacentral:misc_RNA from 1 species
GAUGAAGAACGCAGCGAAAUGCGAUAAGUAGUGUGAAUUGCAGAAUUCAGUGAAUCAUCGAAUCUUUGAACGCACAUUGCGCCCCUUGGUAUUCCAUGGGGCAUGACUGUUCGAGCGUCAUUUGUACCUUCAAGCUUUGCUUGGUGUUGGGUGUUUGUCUCGCCUUUGCGUGUAGACUCGCCUUAAAAUAAUUGGCAGCCGGCGUAUUGAUUUCGGAGCGCAGUACAUCUCGCGCUUUGCACUCAUAACGACAGCGUCCAAAAGUACAUUUUACACUCUUGACCUCGGAUCAGGUAGGGAUACCCGCUGAACUUAAGCAUAUCAAUAAGCGGAGGA